GACGAGCUCCCCAAACGUUAUUCGGUAUCACUGGGCUUAAAGAGUUCGUAGGCGGUCCGAUAGGUGAGGUGUGAAAUCCCCCGGCUCAACCGGGGAACUGCGCUUCAAACCAUCAGACUUGAGGGAGACAGAGGUGGGCGGAACAGAUGGUGGAGCGGUGAAAUGCGUUGAUAUCAUCUGGAACACCGGUGGCGAAAGCGGCCCAACUGGGUCUUUUCUGACGCUGAGGAACGAAAGCUAAGGGUAGCGAAGCGGG
rnacentral:rRNA from 1 species